rnacentral:rRNA from 1 species
UGGGGAAUAUUGCGCAAUGGGGGGAACCCUGACGCAGCAACGCCGCGUGCAGGAAGAAGGUCUUCGGAUUGUAAACUGUUGUCGCAAGGGAAGAAGACAGUGACGGUACCUUGUGAGAAAGUCACGGCUAACUACGUGCCAGCAGCCGCGGUAAUACGUAGGUGACAAGCGUUGUCCGGAUUUACUGGGUGUAAAGGGCGCGUAGGCGGGAUUGCAAGUCAGUCGUGAAAUGCCGAGGCUUAACCUCGGAGCUGCGAUUGAAACUGUAAUUCUUGAGUAUCGGAGAGGAAAGCGGAAUUCCUAGUGUAGCGGUGAAAUGCGUAGAUAUUAGGAGGAACACCAGUGGCGAAGGCGGCUUUCUGGACGACAACUGACGCUGAGGCGCGAAAGUGUGGGGAGCAAACAGG